GAGGAAAGAGGGGGGCGUGCCUAAUACAUGCAAGUCGAGCGAACGGACGAGAAGCUUGCUUUUCUGAUGUUAGCGGCGGACGGGUGAGUAACACGUGGAUAACCUACCUAUAAGACUGGGAUAACUUCGGGAAACCGGAGCUAAUACCGGAUAAUAUUUUGAACCGCAUGGUUCAAAAGUGAAAGACGGUCUUGCUGUCACUUAUAGAUGGAUCCGCGCUGCAUUAGCUAGUUGGUAAGGUAACGGCUUACCAAGGCAACGAUGCAUAGCCGACCUGAGAGGGUGAUCGGCCACACUGGAACUGAGACACGGUCCAGACUCCUACGGGAGGCAGCAGUAGGGAAUCUUCCGCAAUGGGCGAAAGCCUGACGGAGCAACGCCGCGUGAGUGAUGAAGGUCUUCGGAUCGUAAAACUCUGUUAUUAGGGAAGAACAUAUGUGUAAGUAACUGUGCACAUCUUGACGGUACCUAAUCAGAAAGCCACGGCUAACUACGUG
rnacentral:rRNA from 1 species